CGGGGUGAGUAACGCGUGGGUAACCUGCCUUAUACAGGGGGAUAACAGUCAGAAAUGGCUGCUAAUACCGCAUAAGCGCACAGAGCUGCAUGGCUCAGUGUGAAAAACUCCGGUGGUAUAAGAUGGACCCGCGUUGGAUUAGCUAGUUGGUGGGGUAACGGCCCACCAAGGCGACGAUCCAUAGCCGGCCUGAGAGGGUGAACGGCCACAUUGGGACUGAGACACGGCCCAG
rnacentral:rRNA from 1 species